rnacentral:rRNA from 1 species
GACGAACGCUGGCGGCGUGCUUAACACAUGCAAGUCGAACGGAGUGGCGAACGGGUGAGUAAAAGGUGGGGAAUCUGCCUUGAACUUGGGGAAAGGCUGGGAAACAUGGGUCAAAUACGGGAUGGGGAAAGAUGAGCUCGCGGCCUAUCAGCUUGUUGGUGGGGUAAUGGCCUACCAAGGCGUCGACGGGUAGCCGGCCUGAGAGGGGGUACGGCCACAUUGGGACUGAGAUACGGCCCAGACUCCUACGGGAGGCAGCAGUGGGGAAUAUUGCACAAUGGGCGGAAGCCUGAUGCAGCGACGCCGCGUGGGGGAUGAAGGCCUUCGGGUUGUAAACUCCUUUCGACAGGGACGCGGUACCUGUAUAAGAAGCACCGGCUAACUACGUGCCAGCAGCCGCGGUAAUUC